rnacentral:rRNA from 1 species
UACGGGGGGAGCAAGCGUUGUUCGGAUUUACUGGGCGUAAAGGGCGCGUAGGCGGUCGUGACAAGUCACUUGUGAAAUCUCCGGGCUUAACUCGGAACGGCCAAGUGAAACUGUCAAGCUAGAGUGCAGAAGGGGCAAUCGGAAUUCUUGGUGUAGCGGUGAAAUGCGUAGAUAUCAAGAGGAACACCUGAGGUGAAGACGGGUUGCGUGGGCUGACACGUGACGCUGAGGCGCGAAAGCCAGGGGAGCAAACGGG